GAACGCACAUUGCGCCCCCUGGCAUUCCGGGGGGCAUGCCCGUUCGAGCGUCAUUAACACCCCUCAAGCCUGGCUUGGUAUUGGGCGCCGGGACUCUCCCGCGCCCCGAUGUCGCCGGCUGGACGACUCCGAUCUCACAAGCGUUGUACAAAUUCGCUGGCGGGACGGGCGGCCACGCCGUUAACCUCAAUCAAAUCGUUGACCUCGGAUCGGGUAGGAAUACCCGCUGAACUUAAG
rnacentral:misc_RNA from 1 species